UACGAAGGGUGCAAGCGUUAAUCGGAAUUACUGGGCGUAAAGGGUGCGUAGGCGGCUUUUUAAGUCGGAUGUGAAAUCCCCGGGCUUAACCUGGGAAUGGCAUACGAUACUGGGGAGCUAGAGUUUGGGAGAGGGUGGUGGAAUUCCCGGUGUAGCGGUGAAAUGCGUAGAGAUCGGGAGGAACAUCAGUGGCGAAGGCGGCCACCUGGCCUAAAACUGACGCUGAGGCACGAAAGCGUGGGGAGCAAACAGGAUUAGAUACCCUGGUAGUCCACGCCCUAAACGAUGAGAACUGGACGUUGGGAGGAAUUUGCCUCUUAGUGUCGAAGCUAACGCGUGAAGUUCUCCGCCUGGGGAGUACGCUCGCAAGAGUGAA
rnacentral:rRNA from 1 species